UACGUAGGGUGCAAGCGUUGUCCGGAAUUAUUGGGCGUAAAGAGCUCGUAGGCGGUUCGUCGCGUCGGCUGUGAAAUCCCGAGGCUCAACCUCGGGUCUGCAGUCGAUACGGGCGGACUGGAGUUCGGCAGGGGAGACUGGAAUUCCUGGUGUAGCGGUGAAAUGCGUAGAUAUCGGGAGGAACACCAGUGGCGAAGGCGACUACCUGGCCUGUUCUUGACGCUGAGGCGCGAAAGCUAGGGGAGCAAACGGG
rnacentral:rRNA from 1 species